rnacentral:rRNA from 1 species
AUACAGAGAGUGCAAGCGUUAAUCGGAAUUACUGGGCGUAAAGCGCGCGUAGGUGGAUACUUCAGUCGGAUGUGAAAGCCCUGGGCUUAACCUAGGAAUGGCAUUCGAUACUGGGUAUCUAGAGUAUGGUAGAGGGAAGUGGAAUUUCCGGUGUAGCGGUGAAAUGCGUAGAUAUCGGAAGGAACACCAGUGGCGAAGGCGGCUUCCUGGACCAAUACUGACACUGAGGUGCGAAAGCGUGGGGAGCAAACAGGAUUAGAAACCCCGGUAGUCC